AGAUCUGAACUGAAACAAAAAGAGGAAGAAGUGAAAUCCCUCAAACAGAGACUGCAGGAAUCAGCAGAUGUGAGAUCCAGCCCCCAGCGUUGUAACCCACAAGGAUGUGAACACAAAGAAAGUAUGACUCAGAUGGAGAUGUUU